rnacentral:rRNA from 1 species
UGCAGUCGAGCGGUAGAGAGAAGCUUGCUUCCUCCUUGAGAGCGGCGGACGGGUGAGUAAUGCCUAGGAAUCUGCCUGGUAGUGGGGGAUAACGUUCGGAAACGGACGCUAAUACCGCAUACGUCCUACGGGAGAAAGCAGGGGACCUUCGGGCCUUGCGCUAUCAGAUGAGCCUAGGUCGGAUUAGCUAGUUGGUGAGGUAAUGGCUCACCAAGGCGACGAUCCGUAACUGGUCUGAGAGGAUGAUCAGUCACACUGGAACUGAGACACGGUCCAGACUCCUACGGGAGGCAGCAGUGGGGAAUAUUGGACAAUGGGCGAAAGCCUGAUCCAGCCAUGCCGCGUGUGUGAAGAAGGUCUUCGGAUUGUAAAGCACUUUAAGUUGGGAGGAAGGGUUGUAGAUUAAUACUCUGCAAUUUUGACGUUACCGACAGAAUAAGCACCGGCUAACUCUGUGCCAG